rnacentral:rRNA from 1 species
GUUGACCUCGGAUCAGGUAGGGAUACCCGCUGAACUUAAGCAUAUCAAUAAGCGGAGGAAAAGAAACCAACAGGGAUUGCCCUAGUAACGGCGAGUGAAGCGGCAACAGCUCAAAUUUGAAAGCUGGCCUUCGGGUCCGCAUUGUAAUUUGUAGAGGAUGCUUUGGGUGAAACGCCAGUCUAAGUUCCUUGGAACAGGACGUCAUAGAGGGUGAGAAUCCCGUAUGUGACUGGAAAUGUUAACCUAUGUAAAGCUCCUUCGACGAGUCGAGUUGUUUGGGAAUGCAGCUCUAAAUGGGAGGUAAAUUUCUUCUAAAGCUAAAUAUUGGCGAGAGACCGAUAGCGCACAAGUAGAGUGAUCGAAAGAUGAAAAGCACUUUGGAAAGAGAGUUAAAAAGCACGUGAAAUUGUUGAAAGGGAAGCGCUUGCAAUCAGACUUGUUUAAACUGUUCGGCCGGUCUUCUGACCGGUUUACUCAGUUUGGACAGGCCAGCAUCAGUUUCGGCGGCCGGAUAAAGGCUCUGGGAAUGUGGCCUUCACUUCGGUGAAGGUGUUAUAGCCCAGGGUGUAAUACGGCCAGCCGGGACUGAGGUCCGCGCUCGGCUAG